UGGGGAAUAUUGGACAAUGGGGGGAACCCUGAUCCAGCGAUGCCGCGUGUGUGAAGAAGGCCUGAGGGUUGUAAAGCACUUUUGUUGGGGAGAAGAGGUCGAAGGUUAAGAGCUAACGACUGAGAUGUAACCCAAAGAAAAAGCACCGGCUAACUCCGUGCCAGCAGCCGCGGUAAUACGGAGGGUGCGAGCGUUAAUCGGAAUGACUGGGCGUAAAGGGUGCGUAGGUGGUUAAAUAAGUUAGCUGUGAAAUUCCUGGGCUUAACCUAGGGUGGUCAGCUAAUACUGUUAGACUAGAGUAUAGGAGAGGGUAGUGGAAUUUCCGGUGUAGCGGUGAAAUGCGUAGAGAUCGGAAGGAACACCAGUGGCGAAGGCGGCUACCUGGCCAGAUACUGACACUGAAGCACGAAAGCGUGGGGAGCAAACAGG
rnacentral:rRNA from 1 species